GCAGUGCCAUUUUGUAAGGAGGGGAAAAGUGAGUAUCUAAAUCUAAAUAUAAAAAACACAGUGAGUAUCUAAAUCUAAACUUAUAACAUGUAACACUAUGAAUUGACACCAGAUUCCCCACAGUUUUGUGGGUUUAUUAUUGAACUUUUAAUGUACAUGAGCAGCAGUUUGAAUUGGUAGUUUUACAUGGUUGGUGGCUUCACAUGUCUUGGAGGAAGGGGGAGCUGGCUGGUGGUAAGGAAAUGGCUAUACUUGGACUCAGGGCUAUGAUGCAUUUCCAUUUGGAAAUUGUGUAGUUCUGGUAGCACUGUUUACAUUCAAUGAUGGUGGCUAAAAGAUCAGACUCACCAAAACGCAGCUGUUUGUACAUUAAGAGUGACCAGUCAAUGGAAUCCCCAAUUAAGUUCACAGAUGUAGACUGUACUACUGAUAAGAGACUACUGUCUAUUUCUAAAAAGGAGCUGGAACACGAAGAUAUCACAAAGUUAAAUAAUGCACUCUUGAGUCCAGAC
ensembl:lncRNA